AUAUAAUAUCACACGCAGUAGACGACCUAGGGUUUCUUGCGAUCUGGAUCUGGCCCUCAGCGUGCCUUUCCUUGAUCUUCAAAUCGUAGGUGAUCUGGAUUGUUUCCCCUCACAUGUGUUCGAGUGUUUUUGUUUUUAUGUAGAGAUCUUGGUGAAGGCCUUUUUCACGAUCCAAGCGGUUCUCUGCGGUGUGGUUCUUCGGUGCUUUGCGGAUUAAAAGAUGGUUAUGGCUUCCGAUCAGUUUCUUGCGGCUGUUCCACCGAUUUGGUUCGUUCUGUUCUUGCUGCCGAGGAAGCACUGCAGGCGCGGAAGCAGAUCUGCGGCUCGAAGUUCGGAUCGACGGGCGUUUUCGAUGCACAAACUCCAGUUGCCAGGAAAAUAGACGUUGUUUGCCUGAAUGAUUAAGUUCUUGCUCAGAACUUAAUCAGUUGUAAAGGAGUGGAUGCCUCUUGGGGAUCAGAACAAGACGGAUGGGCUAGGUUCUUGAUGAUAGACUGGGAAGGUAAUAUGCAUUUGAACAUGUUGCAUCGACCUUUGCCAUGUUGGGUGCGCUCGCAUGGCAGGUCACCCCUGCUUAAUAAAAAGUAAUAUUUUUUGGGUGCUGGCGGGGGAGAUCGCACGGGGCAUUUGUUUUUAUUCCCCGGGUUCUCCAUCGCCUGUGUGUGUGUGUCUGCCUCUACCUCUUUGAAUUUCAUGUUCCCUAUCGUCCCAUCUCGCUAUCAGUUAAAUGCGGUUUCAUGGCGAUAUCAGCAAUAUCCCGAUUCAACCGCUGCAUAUUCAAUUGUCCAUUGCCUACGCAUCCAUUCCAAGUGGUGAAAUCAUGGGGUCCCCAGCAAUUUGAACCAUCUUUCUGAAAUGAUAAGUUGUAAAUUCGGGUCUGGUUGGGUGACGGGUUUGUUGGGAAAAAUGUGUAAUCAUGAUUGGGGUAAUUGUGAAUGUAAAUUCAUGUAGUAGAAAAGGCUCUUAUGCUCUACUCAUUACAUGGAUUACAACAGUCUUGAGAGUUCCUGUCUACGGGGGUAAAGAUUUUGCAGCUGAAGCUCUAUAGAAGUUUGUCAAUUGUAUUCAAUAUUAAAGAUGCUGCUGUCAAAGAUUGUCUGUAGUUCUGUCAAUUGCUGUCUAGUGCUGUCAAUUGAACUCGAGGCGCAUGUAAAAUAUCUGGAAAAGACUUGGAAUUCAUCUCACCCUGCAUUUUGGUGGAAUCAAUUCUCGGCUUGGAUUUGUUGGUACCUGAAGCUUACAAUUUCGUUGCCACAUCUGGCCGAAAUUGUGAUACAUUCAUGGAGCAAAAAUUUGGGCGUAUUAUGACUAUUGUUUUGAGCACUCUUAUGUGAAGUCAAGUUCUGAAGACUCCUGUAAGAACAAACUUGAAUUUGUAAGCCUUUUUUUGAUUCACUUCUAGAUUUCUAUUUGGCAGAAGUCAAAUUCAUCAAA